CGUAUGCAAUCCACCUGUAACAGGGGGAUAACCCGGAGAAAUCCGGACUAAUACCCCAUAAUAUGGGCGUUCCGCAUGGAGAGCUCAUUAAAGAGAGCAAUUUUGGUUACAGACGAGCAUGCGCUCCAUUAGCCAGUUGGCGGGGUAACGGCCCACCAAAGCGACGAUGGAUAGGGGUUCUGAGAGGAAGGUCCCCCACAUUGGAACUGAGACACGGUCCAAACUCCUACGGGAGGCAGCAGUGAGGAAUAUUGGUCAAUGGUCGGCAGACUGAACCAGCCAAGUCGCGUGAGGGAAGACGGCCCUACGGGUUGUAAACCUCUUUUGUCGGAGAGUAAAGUACGCUACGCGUAGUGUAUUGCAAGUAUCCGAAGAAAAAGCAUCGGCUAACUCCGUGCCAGCAGCCGCGGUAAUACGGAGGAUGCAAGCGUUAUCCGUAUUUAUUGGGUUUAAAGGGUGCGUAGGCGGCACGCCAAGUCAGCGGUGAAAUUUCCGGGCUC
rnacentral:rRNA from 1 species